AUCUUUUCAGGGGCUGGGUAGUCUGAGCCCAACACAGAGAGGACUCAUGCUGCAGCCUCAGCACAUUUGGUGAACUGCAUGGAGUUUAGAGAAGAAGAUAAAUCAAGGACACCCAGUGUGUUGUGGUAUGUAAAAGACCCUUCCACCACAUGAAGAUGCAGCAAGAGGCACCAUCAUGGCAGCAGAAAGCAAGCCCUCACCAGACACCAAAUCUGCUGAUAACUUGGUCUUGGACUUCCCAGCCUCCAGAACUGUGAGAAAUAAAUUUCUGUUAUUUAUAAAUUAC
rnacentral:lncRNA from 1 species